UUUCCAAGACAGUUUCUCUGUUAUUUUCAGUACUCUUCUCUAGCAGAAGUCUUUCUGUUUUUCAGGCUGUUUUGAUGAUGGAUUCAGAAAAAAGAAUACGCUUACUUCAGUUUGUUACUGGCACAUCCCGUGUGCCUAUGAAUGGAUUUGCUGAACUCUAUGGCUCAAAUGGACCACAGUCCUUCACAGUGGAACAGUGGGGCACCCCUGAUAAGCUGCCCAGAGCACAUACCUGCUUCAACCGCCUGGACCUGCCACCCUAUGAAUCCUUUGACGAACUCUGGGAUAAACUUCAGAUGGCGAUUGAGAACACGCAGGGCUUUGAUGGGGUUGAUUAGAUUACAAAAAACCAAGCUGUGGUGUCUUAUACACCAUAGUUCCUAAGCAAAAGCAAAAACAAAAUCACAUUUUAGCAUUUUCCAGAUAACUUCUAAAAGAUGGCCACUGGCUCUUCAAGAGUCCAGAGGACAGUUUGUUUAUCCAUGAUUUCAGCCACCACCACGCUGACUUGUUCCUUUGUCCAGUUGUUGGGGUUCAUGUGUACGGCAGGAUGUGAGUCCUGUGUGCCUGAGUUCUGACCGUAUUUCAUCUUGCUAGGCACAUCCUUCUAAAACUACUGAGAUUCCAACUGUGAAAUAUCUGUAAUGAGUAGCUGGUGGGAAAAAUUGACGCUUUUUUAAGAUGAAAUUUGGACAAAGAAAGUCUUUAAUGAUUGAUUCAUAAACCGCGACACACUUAGUACCACGUGUCGCUUACUUACUCUGUAGACCUGCCUAGUGUACCUUAUCGCCUAGACCCCUUGAAGCCGCUUUGGAAGAUGUAUCACAUGUGUUUUUAGUCACUUAAGUAAGUCACUUGUGUUUU
rnacentral:lncRNA from 1 species